rnacentral:lncRNA from 1 species
UUUUUUUCAUUCUUUUUGUAUUUGUUUCUUUUUUUCUUAAUUUUAUUUUGUCUAUGGUUUCUUUAUUUAUUUUUUCAUUUUCAUUUUUUGGUCUUCUUUGUUUCUUUUUGUUUAUUUUUUGUAUAUGUCAACAAUAUUUUUCUAAUAUAUGUUCAACAUUUUUCCUAUAUUGAUUCAACAUUUUUACUACAUGGUAAACAUUUUUAUAUAUACAUUUUUAAUAUUUUUCAAGUGCUUGAUUAACAUUUUUGAAUACAAAAAUAACAUUUUUGAAAUCAUGGUCAAUAUUUUUCCUAUAUAUACUUUUAAACUUUUUUAAAUGCUUGAUUAAUAUUUUUUAAAUACAAGAUUAAUAUUUUCUAAUAAAUUAUCAACAUUUUUUCUAUGCACAUUUGAAAGUGCAGGUUAUCUAUCGGAGAUUUUAGAUAGUCAUCAAACUCUGAUGGAUUUGACGAAAAUCAGAGUAAUGAAAUAGAAAGAGAAGAGAAACUAAAUCAUCACAGAGAAGUAAACAGGGCAUAUGAGAUAGAUGCAGAUAAAUAGCAUGCAGUCUACAUUCAGGCAUAAACAAAAUGAACUGAAGAAAUGAAAGGCCUCAUGAUAAAAAUCUUGCGAUCAAAUUUUGUAGAAUGCAGAACACACAUUCUUCAAAUGCUGAUGUACCGAAAGUAAAGGGUUGUGGAAUUUGAAAUCAGGAUUGCUUGGAGAUGACACAGUGAUUUGGUAGAACACUUCCAGUUAUUAUAUCAAUUGUACGUCUAAUUGAGGUGGCUUGAGAUUCAACUCAGAAGAGACUUAGUCUUCACCGUAUUUCUCUUGAGCUAAGGUCACUGUAGUCCUCGUCCAAUCACUCGUGGUAAGUCUUCAAGGUAGAUUUCCAAAACUUUCAUAGACUUCUUCAUCGGCACGCCAUAAUUUACUCUUGGGUGCUCAGAACUUGACGCCUAGCCGUCUAGAGACAGUCUUCAAAGGUAACAUGCGUCAGAUCACACAUGACAAUCUCUUCAGUGAUGCUCAAGCACUUUGGCUCUGGCACUUGGGUUUUCUAAAAGUAGUCGAAGGAUGGAUCGAUCUCAAAUGAAAAUUGUCAAUCUCUCUCUUGAAGCUGUCAACCAACAAAUGGUUGGGAGGGGGGCUAUUUAUAGCCAGGGGCCAACCCGACAUAGAAUGUCAUAAAUGCCCCUACAGACAUGACCGUUGUCAGGAUAAGGAUCCACUCGACAGCCGGUACUCGCACAUCAGUGGUCAGAAAUUUGAACUCUCAAUUUCGUUUGGGCACUCAACUUCCUCACGGUAGGAAAGUCGCACUGUCAAAAUCCUAACUCUCUAGUCGGACCAAUUUCGUCAACGACCAAAAGAAUUUGGUCUCUGUCGCUGAAGAACUCCACUGCACCGCAAGAGAUUUUCAAGGUCUUUACAUGAAGAAAUAGGUAUGUUUUGGUAUGAGCAUUACUUCGGAAAUACGUCUAUGUAUCACCUAGACCCCCUUUAACAAUACGGUGUUUUCUAUGACUAAUAAAAGGCUCCCUCUGUCUCACUGAAUUUUUUAGGGGUGUCUCGCUGAAUUAGGGGCGCCCGAUUUAGUGAACCCUACACAGGCAGCUCCCAACUGGGCCGGCCGAUGUAGCGGUUGUCCUAACAAAUACUUUAGCAGUUUGUUUUUUUCUUUUUCUAUAAAUUUUGUUGAAAAUGGUGGAGAAAACAUAAUGCCUCCAAACAAUUUAGAAAACAUAAACAAUUUUUAACACGUGGACAUGUUUUGAAACUUUUGAACAUUUUAUGAAAUGAGAACAUUUUGAAAAGAGGGGAAUAUUUUUGAAAUGCAAACAUAUUCAGUUUUUAGAACAUUUUUUAAAUCAUGUAAAAAUAUGUUUUAACACUUCUCAUAAAAUCUGAACAAUUUGUAAAAAUUCUAUUUUUUUUUAAAAGUGAUAGAAAUAAAAAAUAAAACAAACCAGUCAAGAAAAACUAAAAAAUGGUUUAGAAAUCUUCUAAAGGGUUCCAAAAUCGUAUGGUGCAGCGUGUUUGUUGUGCCAGAUCGGGGCCUAGGUAAUUUUUCCUAAGGUUUUAAAAUACAAUUCGAGAGAUAGAGCAUCAAAUGAAAUUGUGUCCUAAAACAUGUAUUCGAAAAAAUGUUAAACAUGUAAUUCGGGAGAUAGAGUGUCAAAUGUUAAACAUGUAAAAGAAAUGUUUCUGAUGUACAGGGAAAUGUAUAACGUGUAUGCAAAAUUUAAUCAUCAAAACAUGUAUUCGGGAGAUAGAGCGUCAAAUGUUAAACAUGUAUUUACUACAGUAGAACAACAACACAAAAUCAACCAACAGAGAAAUGAUGUACAGAGAAAUGUUAAAAAGCUUGAAUCUGCUCGUAGAAGAUUAAAUGUGUUAUUCGAAAGAAAUGAUCUUAAAGCAAGUGUGGAGAGGAAGAAAAUCCUCGCAGAGAUGGAUGAGCUCCUGAUUAGGGAAGAAAUCAUGUGGAAGCAGAGAUCUUGUCUAGACAAAAUGAAAUGGGGGGAUAGAAACACUAAAAAAAAUCACGGAAAGGCCACAUGGAGAGCUAACAAAAACAAUAUUUCUGCUAUCAGAAGAAGUGAUGGGUCUCUCUCAAAGGUUUUGGAGAAAAUUAAAGGUAUCACAAAUUCUUUUUUUAAGGAUCUUUAUUCCUGUGACUCUAUGGUCAAUCCGUCUCGUAUUAUGUCACUUGUGAAACCGGUGGUGAAUGAGAAUAUGAAUAAAGAUCUCUGCAAACCUUUCUCUGAACAAGAAAUUAGUGAUGCUCUUUUUCAAAUUGGGCCAUUGAAGGCCCCGGGACCAGAUGGAUUUCCAGCCGGGUUUUUUCAAAGAAAUUGGAGUUUACUUAAGACGGAUAUUGUUCGGGUUGUCCAGCAAUUCUUUAUUUCUGGAUGUAUGCCAGAGGGGAUAAAUGAUACAACUAUUGUUCUUAUUCCUAAAAUUAAGAAUCCCCAGUCGAUGAAAGAUUUUCGACCUAUUAGCCUUUGCAAUGUUAUAUACAAAAUUAUCUCAAAGUGCCUUGUCAAUAGGCUAAGACCUCUGCUGGAUCGUAUGAUCUCCCCUACCCAAAGUGCUUUUAUCCCCGGAAGAUUAAUUUCAGAUAAUGCUCUUAUCGCCUUUGAAUGUAUGCACUUGUUGAAUACUUUGAAAGAUUCUCGUGGAGAAUACUGCGCAUAUAAACUGGACCUAGCUAAAGCAUACGAUCGUGUUGACUGGAAGUUCCUGGAAUGCAUGCUUCGUGCAUAUGGUUUUGAUCCAAUCUGGAUUAAUUGGAUUAUGACUUGUGUUACCUCAGUGAAAUUCUUGGUGCACUUUAAUGGCCAGUUGUUAGUCUUUUCAUCCUUCACGUGGUCUGAGGCAAGGGGAUCCAUUAUCGGUGUACGUAUUCCUAUUUGCAGCUGAGGCCCUCUCGCUAUUACUCAAUGAUGCGUCAGCAAGAGGGACUAUCGAAGAUUUCCGACUGAACAGACAUGCUCUAGGUAUAUCUCAUUUAUUAUUUGUCGAUGAUAGUCUCCUAUUUUUUAAGGGUUCUCUAGAGCAAGCUUUGGCUAUUAAAGAUAUUUUGACGGCUUAUGAGGAAGGUACAGGCCAAUUAUUAAGUCCAGACAAGUGUUCCAUUUUAUUUGGGAAAAAGUGUCCUAUUGAGAUCCAGGUGUCUCUUCUGGUUAUCCUUAAAAUCACGUGUGAUGGGUUUGAGGAUAAAUACCUUGGCCUCCCAGUUCCAGAAGGUCAUAUGAAGGCCGACAAAUUUCAAUAUACAAAAGAUAAAGCUCUUAAGAGGGGUUCAGACUGGAUCGAAAAAUAUGCUUCUAGCGGGGCGAAGGAAAUCCAAAUUAAGUCUGUUAUUCAGGCCAUUAUGGUCUAUGCCAUGAGUAUUUUUAAAUUUCCUAUGACUCUUUGUGAUAAUCUAUCUCAAAUUAUAAGGAAUUUUUGGUGGGGUGAUGAGGAGAAUAGAAGAAGUACUCAUUGGUUAGCUUGGAAAAAAUUGACGAAGUCAAAAGGUGAAGGGGGUAUGGGAUUUCGGGACCUCUGGCUUUUCAAUCAAGCACUUUUGGCCAAACAAGCUUGGCAUUUAUUGGUUUUUCCGGACUCUUUGUGUGCAAAGGUGAUGAAAGCUAAAUAUUAUCCUCAUGGGCAUCUUAUUGAUACUGUCUUCCCUCAAGCGACUUCGCUUACGUGGCAAGGUAUUAUGCAUGGACUCGAGUUGUUAAAAAGGGGUAUCAUCUGGAGAGUCGUCGAUGGUGCUAGUAUAAAUAUUUGGAGGGAUAAUUGGCUUCCGAGGGAUUUUGGCCUAAAAAGUUCUGCUAAGAGGACCAGAAUGAGGGUCAAAUGGGUUGUUGAUUUAUUCAUGAGUGGCUCAAGGAGAUGGGAUGAGAAUUUAAUCAGGCAUCUGUUUUACCCUCAUGAUGCGGAGGAAAUUUUGAAGUUAUGCAUUCUGAAUUUGAAUGAGGGUGACUUCAUCGCCUGGCACCAUGAGAAAAAUGGGUUGUUUUCAGUGAAGAGUGCGUAUAGGUUAGCCCUGAAUAUUAAGGACUCGGACAUGGCACUAGGGAACUCCAGUGUAUCUGUUAAUGGGAAAAGGAGGCUCUGGAAUAUUAUUUGGAAGGCUAAUGUUCCUCAGAAGGUUAAAAUCUUUGCUUGCAAGGCUGCAUCUAAUAGCCUAGCCGUACAAGUUAACAGAGUAAAACACCAUCAAGCUACCCUAGGUACAUGCUCAAUCUGUGGUGUUGAAGAUGAAUGUGUUUUUCAUGCUUUGGUAUGCUGUCCCAAGGUACGUGCAUUCCGUAUGGGUUUGAGAGAGGUGUGGAAUUUGCCGGAUGAAGACAUUUUAAACUGUUCGGGGCCGGACUGGUUACUUAUUUUAUUGGAUCAGUUAAGUUCGCCUAUGCGUGAGCAAACAAUUUUCAUGUUCUGAAGAGCUUGGCAUCUGAGAAAUGACUUGAUUUUUGGUAAAGGAAAAGAAUCUAUCUCGGCCUCAGUGAGUUUUAUUCAAAACUAUUGGGCAUCAUUCUCAUCUUGUCAUGCAAAAACGAAGGUAGAGGUAAGUAACAAAGGUAAGGGUGUGAUUGAUGGUUUACAACCCAUUAGUAAUAUGGAGAGGAUUUGUGUUCCAUGGCUGCCUCCCACUCCGGAAUUCCUCAAGAUUAAUGUUGAUGCAAGUUUUGUGGAGGUCAUUAGCGCAGCGAGUGUUGGGGUGGUUGUUAGAAAUCAUUCUGGAGAAGUUCUUAUUUCUUCUUGGGAUAAUAUAGGUAGUUUUAUAAAUAGAUCUCAUGGUAUUCUUAUUAAUAGUGUUCCGCCCUGCAUGGCAAGAGCUGUAACGAAUGAUUGUACGCACAUUUGUGUCAAUUAAUUAAUAUAUGGGUGGGGUUUUUAAAAAAAAAAUCAACCAACAGUCAAGUGGUGACGGGUGAGCAGAAAGGAAAGAAGAGAACGCGCCAACGCGGACAAGAUCAAAGUCAAGUGGUGGGAACUCAAGGGAAGGGAAGCAAGUAGUAGUACAUACCCGGCCGCCGGAAACCUGGGCUGACGGAUGGCGGUGAAGAAGCCCUCCGCCAGGAUGCGAGGAUCCUUCUGCAUCCAUGGUCACAACACACACAACAUUAGUUUGUGGUCAGAAUCGAUACUCAAAUCAUCAAAGAAUAAAGCAGACAAGAAAUAUAAAUGGAUCAUAUAUUCGCCGACGAAACAAAUGAAUUUCUAUGUAAGGCCUAUUUCAGAUUGGCCUGUUAAAGUUGUCGGUCCCCAACGAUUUUUCACUGAGACUUUGCCAGCGCAAUUGGGAAACUUUGGAGGACGGCGUGAAUGCGUCAUCAUUUUGGCCAAGGAAUUUCUGAUGUACUAUUUUUACAUUGGCCAUUCUAUCUUGUGUACAAGAACAGCUAUCACCAGCCAUUUCAUUUAGCACACUUCCACAGCUACCAGCCAACAAAGAAAAACAACACAAGUCCGCCUCAUGCUGCCUUUUUACACAAUAAUGCCUCCACAUCUCAGCCCUUCGGCACCUUGCCACUUUUGGGGUAACCACGUCGGCAUCGUCAAUCUCUCACUGCCGUGCAUCUGCAUCUGAAGCGCAACACACACAACAAGUCAAGAACGGUUUAACACAAGACAAAUCCAAGUAUUUAGAAAGAAAAUAUGUAAGACACAAAGCCAUGCACGUAAAUGUGGUGUUCGUGUUCUACUUGGUGGCUAAAUCCACUAAAACCGUGACACUAACUAUUGUGACAGAAUCACGAGAAGCACAGACAUCACCACAGCCAAGAACCAUAGCAAUUUCCAUGGCGUAAUGGCCAGCACAAAAUUUACCAUGGCUCAAUGGACGUGGGCACACAGAGCAUGGGAGAGAGUAGAGGAGAGGAACCAGAUCUUGCCUAUGCCAGAACAUCAGUGGCCAUCAGAGGGGAAGGGAGCAGGUAUCGGAGUGAGCGCCGAAGCAGGCCAACAAACUUGUUGUUGAUGCUGGGCGUCUUUUACCUGUGCACACCACACGACGGCCUCUUAUGCACCUGCGUGCCAAAAACGCAUCAGGAAAGAAGAAAAAAUCGGCCUAGAACAACAUCGCAUGAAGAAAGUAUUCAUUUACCAAAUGCAUUGGAAGUUAUGUGGUUCUAAGGUUAUGUAUUGUCGCAGGAACAUGGAGGAAGAUAUGUACAUAGAAAAUAACUAUCAAGAAAGAUACGUCCUUUGGAAAAUAAUAUAUACUUCCUCCGUCCCACAAUAUAAGAUCAUUUUUCAAGCUAUUUUAGCUUUAAAAAAACGAUCUUAUAUUGUGGGACGGAGGGAGUACAAAUCUGAUCGAUUUUUCGAGACACUUCAUUGCGGUCAUACAAAGAUUCUCACAAACAUAGGGUUUGGGAGAGCUAUUCCAGAGUUAAUGGACAAGCGCAUAUGAUUAGUUAUGUACCAUUGUACUAACAAUUUGCAAUCCCGUUUAGAGCAAGUAAAACAAGCAAUAAAUUAGACAAGACUAACCAAAAUUCAAGCAAGCAUGAAUUAGACGACACAACUAUUGAUAAGAAGAUGAAAUCUAUUUGAGCACCAAGAAAAAAUCAUGUCUUUCUUUCGAUACAACAAGAACAAAAAGAAAUACUGGUUAUAUAUUAGCAGGCUCUAGUAUCAUGUUCUUUACCUGCCAAUAAGAUGGUACCUUCGACAGAAUUAAUGAACUAGAAAUAUGGUUAUGUGACGUUGUAUGCAAUUACAUUAAGGUUCAUUCUACGCCAAAAUAGUAGAUGCCAAAAAUCCUAAAUAAGUAUCAAAAUCCAACAAAACAACAUAUACAGUAGCACAAGGACCAAUUUCAAACAAAAUCAUCUCGACCUCCACCAUUAGGCUACAUGACUACAGAACCAAGCCCUAAAUAAUUGUCUCGAUGGCAGGCAUCACAACCGGCCAAAGCUUGAUGACCAGGACAAUCUUAGGGCACAUGGAGAUAGAGAGAGGGGGGACUCACCAGAACAAGAAGCUGGGGUAGUCCUCCGAGCUGUGGUAGCCAGACAGGAGAUUACAACAAGCCACCGUCAUCCUGUCGAUGUUGGCGCAAAGCCAGGGGGCACAACAGUGACCGUUCGGUCACCCACCAGGUCACCACAACAAACGGGUAUUCCAACAUUGAAGAACCGCUGCACUGAAAACAACACGCAAAGCACACACUGCAAGUUGACAAGAAUCACCAAGACCGUGUAAGCACACAUGCUUGCUACCAGGUUUAGUGUGCUAAAUCUGGUUAAUAACAAAAUCAAGUCAUGCAUAAUAGUUUGUAAAAAGCAUAUAUAUACCCACUCAUGCUAGCUUGGCAUCAACAUGCAGAGCACACACGGGGAAGCUGGUUUGCUAAACGUACACAUGUUAAUUACAUGAAACAGGAGAAAACUAGGGAAGAAGACAUGAACUAUCUUAUAUUCAUAACAAAUGUGGGGAGCAAGGUUUUGGGUGCCAUAAAACAAACGAAAGGGCUAUGCGUAUAUGAAGGAAAUAUGCCCUAGAGGCAAUAAUAAAGUUAUUAUUUAUUUCCUUAUUUCAUUAUAAAUGUUUAUUAUUCAUGCUAGAAUUGUAUUAACCGGAAACAUAAUACAUGUGUGAAUACAUAGACAAACAUAAUGUCACUAGUAUGCCUCUACUUGACUAGCUCGUUAAUCAAAGAUGGUUAAGUUUCCUAACCAUAGACAUGAGUUGUCAUUUGAUUAACGGGAUCACAUCAUUAGAAGAAUGAUGUGAUUGACUUGACCCAUUCCGUUAGCUUAGCACUUGAUCGUUUUAUGUUGCUAUUGUUUUCUUCAUGACUUAUACAUAUUCCUAUGACUAUGAGAUUAUGCAACUCCCGUUUACCGGAAGAACACUUUGUGUGCUACCAAACGUCACAAGGUAAUUGGGUGAUUAUAAAGGAUCUCUACAGGUGUCUCCGAAGGUACAUGUUGGGUUGGCGUAUUUCGAGAUUAGGAUUUGUCACUCCGAUUGUCGGAGAGGUAUCUCUGGGCCCUCUCGGUAAUGCACAUCACUAUAAGCCUUGCAAGCAAUGUAGCUAAUGAGUUAGUUAUAGAAUGAUGCAUUACGUAACGAGUAAAUAGACUUGCCGGUAACGAGAUUGAACUAGGUAUUGGAUACCGACGAUCGAAUCUCGGGCAAGUAACAUACCGAUGACAAAGGGAACAACAUAUGUUGUUAUGCGGUCUGACCGAUAAAGAUCUUCAUAGAAUAUGUGGGAACCAAUAUGAGCAUCCAGGUUCCGCUAUUGGUUAUUGACCAGAGACGUGUCUCGGUCAUGUCUGCAUAGUUCUCGAACCCGUAGGGUCCGCACGCUUAAGGUUUCAAUGACAGUUAUAUUAUGAGUUUAUGAGUUUUGAUGUACCGAAGGAGUUCGGAGUCCUGGAUGAGAUCGGGGACAUGACGAGGAGUCUCAAAAUGGUCUAGACGUAAAGAUCGAUAUAUUGGACGACUAUAUUCGAAGUUCGGAAAGGUUCCGAGUGAUUCGGGUAUUUUUCGGAGUACCGGAGAGUUACAGGAAUUCGCCGGGGAGUAUAUGGGCCUUAUUGGGCUUUAGGGGAAGGAGAGAGGAGAGGCUGGGCGCCCCCCCAAGGCCUAGUCCGAAUUGGACUAGGGGGAGGGGCUGCGCCCCCUCCUUCCUUCUCUUCUCUUCCCCCUUUCCUUGACUCCUACUCCUACUACUUGGAAGGGGGGGAAUCCUACUCCCGAUGGGAGUAGGACUCCUCCUUGGCGCGCCCUCCUUGGCUGGCCGCCCCCUCCCCCUUGGCUCCUUUAUAUACGGGGGCAGGGGGCACCUCUAGACACACAAGUUGAUCUUUGUGAUCGUUCCUUAGCCGUGUGUGGUGCCCCCCUCCACCAUAUUCCACCUCGGUCAUAUCGUUGCGGUGCUUAGGCAAAUCCCUGCGUCGGUAGAACAUCAUCAUCGUCACCACGCCGUCGUGCUGACGGAACUCAUCCCCGACACCCUGUUGGAUCGGAGUCCGGGGAUCGUCAUCGAGUUGGACGUGUGCUGAACUCGGAGGUGUUGUACGUUCGGUGCUUGGAUCGGUCGGAUCGUGAAGACGUACGACUACAUCAACCACGUUGUCAUAAUGCUUCCGCUUUCGGUCCACGAGGGUAUGUGGACACACUCUCCCCUCUCGUUGCUAUGCAUCACCAUGAUCUUGCGUGUGCGUAGGAUUUUUUUUUUGAAAUUACUACGUUCCCCAACAUUGGUAUCCGAGCCAGGUUUUAUGCGUUGACGUUAUAUGCAUGAGUAGAACACAAGUGAGUUGUGGGCGAUACAAGUCAUACUGCUUACCAGCAUGUCAUACUUUGGUUUGGCGGUAUUGUUGGAUGAAGAGGCCCGGACCGACAUUACGCGUACGCUUAUGCGAGACUGGUUCUACCGACAUGCUUUGCACACAGGUGGCUGGCGGGUGUCUGUUUCUCCAACUUUAGUUGAACCGAGUGUGGCUACGCCUGGUCCUUGCGAAGGUUAAAACAACACUAACUUGACAAACUAUCGUUGUGGUUUUGAUGCGUAGGUAAGAACGGUUCUUGCUCAGCCCAUAGCAGCCACGUAAAAUUUGCAACAACAAAGUAGAGGACGUCUAACUUGUUUUUGCAGGGCAUGUUGUGAUGUGAUAUGGUCAAGACGUGAUGCUAUAUUUUAUUGUAUGAGAUGAUCAUGUUUUGUAACCGAAGUUAUUGGCAACUGGCAGGAGCCAUGUAGUUGUCGCUUUAUUGUAUGAAAUGCAAACGCACUGUAAUUGAUUUACUUUAUCACUAAGCGGUAGCGAUAGUCGUAGAAGCAAUAGAUGGCGUAACGACAACGAUGCUACGAUGGAAAUCAAGGUGUCGCGCCGGUGACGAUGAUGAUCACGACGGUGCUUCGAAGAUGGAGAUCACAAGCACAAGAUGAUGAUGGCCAUAUCAUAUCACUUAUAAUGAUUGCAUGUGAUGUUUAUCCUUUAUGCAUCUUAUCUUGCUUUGAUUGACGGUAGCAUUUUAAGAUGAUCUCUCACUAAUUAUCAAGUAGUGUUCUCCCUGAGUAUGCACCAUUGCGAAAGUUCUUCGUGCUGAGACACCACGUGAUGAUCGGGUGUGAUAGGCUCUACGUUCAAAUAAAACGGGUGCAAAACAGUUGCACACACGGAAUACUCAGGUUAAACUUGACGAGCCUAGCAUAUACAGAUAUGGCCUCGGAACACGGAGACCGAAAGGUCAAGCGUGAAUCAUAUAGUAGAUAUGAUCAACAUAGUGAUGUUCACCAUUGAAAACUACUCCAUCUCACGUGAUGAUCGGACAUGGUUUAGUUGAUUUGGAUCACGUGAUCACUUAGAUGACUAGAGAGAUGUCUGUCUAAGUGGGAGUUCUUAAGUAAUAUGAUUAAUUGAGCUUAAAUUUAUCAUAAACUUAGUCCUAGUAGUAUUUUGCAAAUUAUGUUGUAGAUCAAUAGCUUGCGUUAUUGCUUUCAUAUGUUUAUUUUUGAUAUGUUCCUAGAGAAAAAUUGUGUUGAAAGAUGUUAGUACCAAUGAUGCGGAUUGGAUCCGUGAUCUGAGGUUUGUCUUUAUUGCUGCACAGAAGAAUUAUGUCCUUAAUGCACCGCUAGGUGACAGACCUAUUGCAGGAGCAGAUACAGACGUUAUAAACGUUUGGCUAGCUCAAUAUGAUGACUACUUGAUAGUUUUGUGCACCAUGCUUUAUGGCUUAGAACCGGGACUACAAAAACGUUUUUGAAACGUCACGGAACAUAUGAGAUGUUCCAUGAGAUGAAAUUGAUAUUUCAGACUCAUGCCCGUGUCAAGAGGUAUGAGACCUCUGACAAAUACUUUGCCUAAAAGAUGGAGGAGAAUUGCUCAACUAGUGAGCAAGUGCUUAGAUUGUCUGAGUAUUACAAUCGCUUGAAUCAAGUGGGAGUUAAUCUUCCAGAUAAGAUAGUGAUUGGCAGAGUUCUCUAGUCACCAUCACCAAGUUACUGGAACUUCAUGAUGAACUAUAAUGCAAGGGAUGACGAAAACGAUUCCCGAGCUCUUCGUGAUGCUGAAAUCGACGAAGGUAGAAAUCAAGAAAAGAGCAUCAAGUGUUGAUGAUUGACAAGACCACUAGUUUCAAGAAAAGGGCAAAGGAAAAGAAAGGAAACUUCAAGUAGAAUGACAAGCAAGUUGUCACUCCCGAGAUGAAGCCCAAAGCUGGACCAAAGCCUGAAACUGAGUGAUUAUACUGUAAAGGAAAUGGUCACUAGAAGCGAAAAUGCCCUGAAUAUUUGGUGGAUAAGAAGGAUGGCAAACUGAAUAAGGGUAUAUUUGAUAUACAGGUUAUUGAUGUGUACCUUACUAGUGUUUAUAGUAACCCCUGAGUAUUUGAUACUUGUUCGGUUGCUAAGAUUAGUAACUCGAAACAGGAGUUACAGAAUAAAUAGAAACUAGUUGAGGGUGAAGUGACGAUGUGUGUUGGAAGUGGUUCCAAGAUUGAUAUGAUCAUCAUCGCACACUCCCUAUACUUUCGGGAUUAGUGUUGAACCUACAUAGAUGUUAUUUGGCGUUUGUGUUGAGCAUGAAUAUGAUUUGAUCAUGUUUAUUGCAAUAGGUUAUUCAUUUAAAAUCAGAGAAUAAUUGUUGUUCUAUUUAAAUGAAUAAAACCUUUGAUGGUCAUACACCCAAUGAAAAUAGUUUGUUGGAUCUCGAUCGUAGUGAUACACAUAUUCAUAAUAUUGAUGCCAAAAGAUGCAAAGUUGAUAAUGAUAGUGCAACUUAUUUGUGGCACCGCCGUUUGAGUCAUAUCGGUGUAAAGCGCAUGAAGAAACUCCAUAAAGAUGGAUUUCGGAAUUAUUUGGUUAUGAGUCAUUUGAUGCUUGCGAACCGUGCCUUUUGGGCAAGAUGACUAAAACUCCGUUCUCCGGAACAAUGGAACGAGCUACUGAUUUGAUGGAAAUAAUACAUACCGAUGUAUACGGUCCAAUGAGUGUUGAUGCUCGUGGCAGGUAUCAUUAUUUUCUGACCUUCACAAGAUGAAUUGAGCAGAUAUGAGUAUAUCUACUUAAUGAAGCACAAGUCUGAAACAUUUGAAAAGUUCAAAGAAUUUCAGAGUGAAGUGGAGAAUGAUCGUAACAAGAAAAUAAAGUUUCUGCAAUUUGAUCGCAGAGACAAAUAUUUGAGUUACGAGUUUGGUCUUCAAUUAAAACAAUGUGAAAUAGUUUCACAAACCCAUGCCACCUGGAACACCACAGCUUAAUGGUGUGUCCGAACGUCAUAACAGUAUUUUAUUGGAUAUAGUGCAAUCUAUGAUGUCUCUUACCAAUUUACCACUAUCGUUUUGGGGUUAUGCAUUAGAGACAGCUGCAUUCACUUUAAAUAGGGCAGCAUUAAAAUCCGUUGAGACGACGCCUUAUGAACAGUGGUUUGGCAAGAAACCAAAGUUGUCGUUUCUUAAAGUUUGGGAAUGCGAUGCUUAUGUAAAAAAAAUCAACCUAAUAAGCUCGAACCCAAAUCGGAGAAGUGUGUCUUCAUAGAAUACCCAAAGGUAACUAUUGGAUACACCUUCUAUCACAGAUCCUAAGGCAAGUUAUUCGUCGAUAAGAUGGAUCCUUUCUAGAGAAGAAGUUUCUCUCGAAAGAAGUGAGUGGGAGGAAAGUAGAACUUGAUGAGGUAAUUGUACCUUCUCCCUUAUUGGAAAGUAGUUCAUCACAGAAAUCAGUUCCAGUGAUUCCUACACCAAUUAGUGAGGAAGUUAAUGAUGAUGAUCAUGAAACUUCAAAUCAAGUUGCUACCAAACCUCGUAGGUCUUCCAGAGUAAAGAUCCGCACCAGAGUGGUACGGUAAUCAUGUUCCGGAAGUCAUGUUACUAGACCAUGAUGAACCUACGAACUAUGAGGAAGCGAUGAUGAACCCAGAUUCCGCGAAAUGGCUUGAGGCCAUGAAAUCUGAGAUGGGAUCCAUGUAUGAGAACAAAGUGUGGACUUUGGUGGAGUUGCCCGAUGAUCGGCAAGCCAUAGAAAAUAAAUGGAUCUUCAAGAGGAAGACGGACACUGAUAGUAGUGUUACUAUCUACAAAGCUCGACUUGUUGUGAAAGGUUUUUCGACAAGUUCAAGGUGUUGACUACAAUGAGAUUUUCUCAAUUGUAGCGAUGCUUAAGUCUGUCCGAAUCAUGUUAGCAAUUGCCACAUUUUAUGAAAUCUGGCAAAUGGAUGUCAAAACUGCAUUCCUUAAUGGUUUUCUUAAAGAAGAGUUGUAUAUGAUGCAACCAGAAGGUUUUGUCAAUCCUAAAGGUGCUAACAAAAUGUGCAAGCUCCAGCGAUCCAUAUAUGGACUGGUGCAAGCAUCUCAGAGUUGGAAUAUACGCUUUGAUAAGUUGAUCAAAGCAUAUAGUUCUAUACAGACUUACGGUGAAGCCUGUAUUUACAAUAAAGUGAGUGGGAGCACUACCGCCUUUCUGAUAAAUAUAUGUGAGUAACAUAUUGUUGAUCAGAAAUGAUGUAGAAUUUUUCUGGAAAGCAUUAAGGAGUAUUUGAAAGGAGUUCUUUAAAAGAAAGACCUCAGUAAAGCUACUUACGUAUUGAGCAUCAAGACCUAUUGAGAUAGAUCAAGACGCUUGAUAAGUUUUUCAAUAAGUACAUACCUUGUCAAGAUUUUGAAAUAGUUCAAAAUGGAACAGUCAAAGAAAGAGUUUUUGCCUGUAUUGCAAAGGUGUGAAAUUGAGUAAGACUCAAAUCCCGACCACGGCAGAAAAUAGAAAAGAGAAUGAAAGUCAUUCCCUAUGCCUCAGUCAUAGGUUCUAUAAAGUAUGCUAUGUACCAGACCUAUUGUAUACCUUGCUCUGAAUUUGGCAAGGGAGUACAAUAGUGAUCUAAAAGUAGAUCAUUGGACAUUGGUCAAAAUUAUCCUUAGAGAAAUAAGGAGAUGUUUCUCGAUUAUGGAGGUGAUAAAAGAGCCCGUUGUAAAAAGUUACAAUGAUGCAAGCUUUUACACCAAUUCAGAUGACUUUAAGUCUCAAUCUGGAUACAUAUUGAAAGUGGGAGCAAUCAGCUAGAGUAGCUCCGUGCAGAGCAUUGUGGACAUAGAAUAUUUGCAAAAUACAUACGACUCUGAAUAUGACAGAUCCGUUGACUAAACUUCUCUCACAAGCAAGACAUGAUCAUACCUUAGUACUCUUUGGGUGUUAAUCACAUAACGAUGUGAACUAGAUUAUUGACUCUAGUAAAUCCUUUGGGUGUUGAUCACAUGACGAUGUGAACUAUGGGUAUUAACACAUACAGAUGUGAACAUUGGUGUUAAAUCACAUGGCGAUGUGAACUAGAUUAUUGACUCUAGUACAAGUGGGAGACUGAAGGAAAUAUGCCCUAAAGGCAAUAAUAAAGUUAUUAUUUAUUUCCUUAUUUCAUGAUAAAUGUUUAUUAUUCAUGCUAGAAUUGUAUUAACCGGAAACAUAAUACAUGUGUGAAUACAUAGACAAACAUAGUUUCACUAGUAUGCCUCUACUUGACUAGCUCAUUAAUCAAAGAUGGUUAAGUUUCCUAACCAUAGACAUGAGUUGUCAUUUGAUUAACGGGAUCACAUCAUUAGAAGAAUGAUGUGAUUGACUUGACCCAUUCCGUUAGCUUAGCACUUGAUCGUUUAAUAUGUUGCUAUUGCUUUCUUCAUGACUUAUACAUGUUCCUAUGACUUAUACAUGUUCCUAUGACUAUGAGAUUAUGCAACUCCCGUUUACCGGAAGAACACUUUGUGUGCUACCAAACGUCACAACGUAACUGGGUGAUUAUAAAGGAGCUCUACAGGUGUCUCCGAAGGUACAUGUUGGGUUGGCGUAUUUCGAGAUUAGGAUUUGUCACUCCGAUUAUCGGAGAGGUAUCUCUGGGCCCUCUCGAUAAUGCACAUCACUAUAAGCCUUGCAAGCAAUGUAGCUAAUGAGUUAGUUACGGAAUGAUGCAUUACGUAAUGAGUAAAGAGACUUGCCGGUAACGAGAUUAAACUAGGUAUUGGAUACCGACGAUCGAAUCUCGGGCAAGUAACAUACCGAUGACAAAGGGAACAACGUAUGUUGUUAUGCGGUCUGACCGAUAAAGAUCUUCGUAGAAUAUGUGGGAACCAAUAUGAGUAUCUAGGUUCCGCUAUUGGUUAUUGACCGGAGACGUGUCUCGGUCAUGUCUACAUAGUUCUCGAACCCGUAGGGUCCGCACGCUUAAGGUUUCGAUGACAGUUAUAUUAUGAGUUUAUAAGUUUUGAUGUACCGAAGGAGUUCGGAGUCCCGGAUGAUAUCGGGGACAUGACGAGGAGUCUCAAAAUGGUUGAGACGUAAAGAUCGAUAUAUUGGACGACUAUAUUCGGAGUUCGGAAAGGUUCCGAGUGAUUCGGGUAUUUUUCGGAGUACCAGAGAGUUACGGGAAUUCGUCGGGGAGUAUAUGAGCCUUAUUGGGCUUUAGGGGAAAGAGAGAGGAGAGGCUGGGCGCCCCCACAAGGCCUAGUCCGAAUUGGACUAGGGGGAGGGGCUGCACCGUCCUCUCUCCCUUGGCUCCUUUAUAUACGGGGGCAGGGGGCACCUCUAGACACACAAGUUGAUCUUCGUGAUUGUUCCUUAACCGUGUGCGGUGCCCCCCUCCACCAUAUUCCACCUCGGUCAUAUCGUUGCGGUGCUUAGGCGAAGCCCUGCGUCGGUAAAACAUCAUCAUCGUCACCACGUUGUCGUGCUGACGGAACUCAUCCCGACACCCUGCUGGAUCGCAGUCCGGGGAUCGUCAUCGAGCUAAACGUGUGCUGAACUCGGAGGUGCAGUACGUUCGUUGCUUGGAUCAGACGGAUCGUGAAGACGUACGACUACAUCAACCGCGUUGUCAUAACGCUUUCGCUUUCGGUCUACGAGGGUACGUGGACACACUCUCCCCUCUCGUUGUUAUGCAUCACCAUGAUCUUGCGUGUGCGUAGGAUUUUUUUUUUUUGAAAUUACUACGUUCCCCAACAGUAUAGCACUAUUCACUAUUAAAUAAGGCGGCAAGCGAACAUCAUUUGAUGACAGUUUAGUUGUGAAGCAAAAUCAAACGACGACAGUUUUAAAACAAAAAAUGCCUUCUCUGAAGAAACUGCCACCCCCUCACAACUAAAAAUGCCACCUAAAAUGUUAGCGUAUGGCACCCUUCUAGGCGAACGUUCGCCAGUUAUGAGCGUCCUUAAAUAUAGGAUGGAGAAGGUGUAGGUAAUCGUCCGUGGCAUUCUCAGUGAAUUCCGAGCGGUCGCCAAGGAGCUUCGUCAUGUAAGGCCCUCAAUAAUUUGAUUCAGAGUUAUCCAAUAACAAUUUCUAUAUUAUCUAUUUCCUGACUCCCUGGACUUGAACAAUUGGCACAUGAGUAAAGAGCAAUUUAUGUAGUAUUUUAUAUUAAUUGAACCCGAACGAAGGUUGGUUGUGAUUCGAUCAUGGGAAGUAAACUAGGAGGAGAUCAGAAGGAAUGAGGGUUCAUGUCCCAGAGAUGGGCGUGUGAGGACACUCGGCUGCGCGAGCAAUUGGCGGUGGUCCCGCUCUCGUGCAACCGCAAAUACACUUCGACUCCUUUUCUUUUCAUGAUUGGGUACCGCUAAUUGGUUCAAUUAUAUGACCACAGAAGGCAAACGAAGACACGAGGGGACGGUUCAUACAACAAGUGUAUAUGAGAUGAAGGUGGCUCCCACCAUUACUAUAAGCCCACAUAAUUAAAAGUCAAUGCAGCGAGAUGGAGAACACGGAUAGGUCGCUACAUGUGCGCAAAGAUUUAUUUCUUCUGUUUCAACGCACGGGCGUAUUUGCUAGUAAUAUGCAAAAAUAAGCAUAUAAUAGUGCAAUUUUCAUAGAAAAGGUGUCCCUUAUAAUAAGGGUCGAAUUAGUGGAAUUGAUAUAGGGGUCUGCCCCUACUUUGUUGCCCAUCUCAACUUUUUCCAUGGGUCCGCCCCUGCAUAAUGGAAAUUGAUGGUGGGGGUGGAGGUGGGGGGGGAGGGGCUUGGCCCCCUCAUGAUGUCAAAGUACGAACUGAUUAUGCCCAUAUUUUGGUUAGUAUGGAUGCUUGACUUGUUGGUUCAUGAAUAUGGUUAUGCAUUCAUGCCCCUCAAGUUUUUCGUUGGGUCUGCCCCUGGCGUGGACGAUGUAGCCCAUUUCCAGCGCCGCCACCAUCCCCGGGAUGAGCACGAGAGCCCAUAUCCCGGGCUUGGCAGCCAGGUAGUUGUGUGGCGCCGCUGCCGCCGCAUACUGCCCCACGCUGGAGCCAGCCCUGGCUCCGCCCAGAUCUCCACCUUGGGCAUGGGCUGCAGGCAGGAGGAGAAGCACCAGCGUUGCUGCGAGUAGGAGGAAGUGAAGAGAGAGUGCCAUCGAGUUGGAGUCGGAAGCAAGAGUGAGCGCCAAAUGAUGAAAUUGUGUCCUAAAACAUGUAUUUGGAAAAAUCUUAAGCAUGUAAUUCCAGAGAUAGAGCGUCGGAUGUUAAACAUGUAAAAAAUGUUUCUGAUGUACAGAGAAAUGUAUAACAUGUAUGAAAAAUUUAAUCAUCAAAACAUGUAUUUGGAAAAAUGUCAAUAAUAUAUUUAAAAAAUAUUGAACAUGUAUAAAAAAAUGGUUCGGGUGUAUAUGAACAGUGUACAAUUUGGUAUAAAAAGUAUACAUAAAAAAAUAUCUUUCAAAAAUGUUGGUCAUGUAUUUGAAAAAUAUUAUAAAACUAAUGUUUUGAUGUAUAUGAAAAAUGUAGAAUUUCUGUUGAAAAUGUGGACAGCAAGAAAUGCAUUUAAAAAAAUGUUAAUCAUAUAUUCGAAAAAAUGUUAACAUGCAUAAAAAUAAUGUUUCAGAUUAUAUGAAAAAUUAAAAAUGUCUUAUUGAAAAAAGUAGACAUCAAGAAAUGUAUUUCUAGAAAAUCGUUAAUCAUUUAUUUAGAAAUCUCUAAACAUGUUUACAAAUAAUGUUUGACAUGUAUACAAAAAAAUACUCAUGAGUUAAUCUACACUGAUAUACCAUUAAAGUUAUGUUCUUUCUUUUGUAUCGUAUUUACAUGCCGCUUCCCGUAUCAUUUAGCUUAUCUUCCGUUAAAAAAAGAUGGGCAUGCAUGGAUGCAGCCAUCGUUUUGGCAACCUGAAAAGGCCUUCAAAUUAGAUGUUACUGACUUUAUUUCUGUCAACUAUGCAUAUGUUUCCAUUUUGUUAUUGUUCUGAAUUAGAUGGAUGAUGUUCAGGUGCUUCUUUGGUUUCUCAUGUUGCUGGUUACCGUCCUGUUUUACAUGUGUGAUUAAUGUGCAUUGAAGUGCUGAAUAUCUGGCUGAAGAUAGAACUAACACCGUGUUAGUUCCUAAAUAGUACUCGUAUUUCAUUUUCUCAGAUACUUUACCGUCUAUAUUUCCCUCAAUUUUUUUCAUCAUCUAUUCUGAUGUUCAAGUAACUUUAAUAUAUGAAACAGAGACAUGUUGCCGCUAUAUUUUUCCUUACGCUAGACCAAGCAGUUUACUUCUACACAAUGUUUGUCCUGUUGGAAGAAUGACUCAAGCUUUGAAGAUUAAGUCCACAGGUAGUACAAGAGAGCAAAAUAUGCCAUACUUGUUGGCUCAGCCAUACUAGAGGUUGUCAACUUACUUUUGGUCUGCCGCCUUAAUCUUCAGUAGGAUCUGGUUACUGCAAACUUGGGAGUGAAAUGUAGGGAAUCCAGACAUCAUUUCUGUAAGCAGUUGAAUACACAGUUUCUUGCCCUGUUCCUGGGGAUCAUUGUAUCAAAGCCUUGGAACUGAAAUGCUAGGUUGACCUUUCAAGGAUGCAAAACCUUGAACCAAUCCAUGGAAAAUGGUUAGCUUUGAGCCAUGAUACCUGGAUUAGACAUCUAGAACAACCAACAUAUUGUUCCAAAGACUUCAUUAUUAUACCAGUAAAGACUAGAUUUCUUCUACAGACACACGUGACCUUAUCCGAGUAUAUCAACAACAAAAAAAGGGUGAAACAAAGCAUUGUUUCCCUUGCCUAUCAGUGUCAGUAAUAAAUAAAUGUAGGUGUCACACUACUCUUUGUUUUCACCAUUCAAGCUAUCCAGUUGUGAUAUUACACCCAGCAACACUAAUAUAGUUCAAAAGUAAAAUAAAGUUCAUGUAGUAAUAAAUAUUACAAGGCUUGAGAAUUAAUAAUUGACAUAACUACGGGAAAAUAGGCACAACCCACAGCAUCAUCAUUAUAUAAAAUAAAAACACUGGAUGGUCACAAUCAUUUGACAGAAUGGCACUGACUGCAUGGCUUCUGGAUAUUUAGCUUAACAUUAGAGGGGACCUUCCCAACGAUGUAUUUUUCGAUAGCCAAAACUGAUUUGUGGGCUUCUCUGAUCAUACGCUGUCCUGUAUGAGGGCUGCAAUCACCAAUUUCGUGGACAGUUAACCUAUCAACAUGUUCAUAACCACCAACAUAUAUGGGGUCCAGUUUAAGAUUCUCAAGUGAUGUUGCAUUGUCAAGAAUAUGGCAAGUUAGCUCAAUCAUGCUCUUUGCAGAGCAAAAGCCAUCGAUCUUCACGUUCUUGAUGCUGGCGUGGUGGUGUCCUGGCAUCUUUCUGAGAAGAGAGGAAUCCCCAGAUACAGGAUCAUGCUUCAUGCGAGUCUGCCAUACCUGCACAGGUAUAACAUACAUGAAUUACCGGUUCCUCGUAUACUCCCUCGGCCCCAAAAUAUAAGAUUUUGGGAUGGAGGAGGUAUAAGAUACCUUCACAAGACAGAAGAGCGACUUACAGACAAUUUGAAAGUUUCCAACACAGGACAAGCAUCCAGGAAAAAAACUAGAGACAAAUAAUCAUAAGCUGGGGAAAAGGCCCCUUCUGCAACAGAGAGACAAAUCUCCAAUAGCUUGAGGUGCAGGAAUUUGGCAGUUACGAUUGGUGUAUUAAGAACCUGCAUAAAAGCAUGUAGAUUAAUUAUAUUCUAAGACAUGCUUAUUACUACAACAGCAACAUCAACAAUGGCUAAUCAAAUAAUAGUGCUGGUUACUCUUCAAAUAAUAAAUAUAGAGUUCAAUGUACCUCGCCAGCUGAAGAAAUGCCAAGAGUUUCAAGAUUUGGCAUAAUCCGUGGAAGAUCGGCACGGGCAUAAUAAACGAGGUUAUAUUCAAAGGCCCACAACAUCUCUAGGUUAUUCACUCGCAAUGAAUCUCCAAAUGGAAGUCGUACGAGAGUAGUAUCAAUGCGAACUGUGCAAAGAUUCAGAGCUUUGUUCUCUAUCAGUUCCAGUGUUUUGCAUCCAAACACUGUCAGGUGGUUGAACUGGUUUAGCAGGCACGGUAUCUUCAAGCAAGUGAUCUUAUUGCAUCGGCUAAGAUUCAACUCCUUCAAAACAAGAGAAUUGGAAAGAAGGCACCCUAACUCAUCACCAGUGAUGUGUACCCGAGACAGAUGCAGCUUUCUCAAGCAACCAAGUCCAGCCACGGGAUGGAAGGCACAACUUUUGAGGUUUAGAUAACUAAUUGAUUUUCCAUUUCCAUUGAAUAAAAGUGAGCAUGGGAAGUUGUAGUACUUUGCAUCGUAUACUACAGGCAGCGAAAGUACAAGCUCUUCAAGCCCUGGGUUAACAGCAACCUGAAGCCAACUUUUGAGAUGCCUGGUGUAGAUACGAGAACCACAGUGUUCAAGCUUGAAUGUCUUCACACCAAUGCCUGCGCGUUUUUCCAUAAUUUGGUCAACUAUUUUGGUGAACUUCCAAGCUAGUGUAUCACUUCCACAUAUUUUCUCACUGAAGGUGCGUUUCACACCCAGUGUUUCCUGACUGAAGGUGAGGUUGGGGUGGCAUCUCCAGGAACGUAAAAAUUCACGAGACACGCAGCCAGCUCGGGCAGCAUCAGGUAGUGGUAGUAGGGCAUGUAUAUGACACCAGAUGUCCUUCAAAAAUAUAAGGACGGAAGAAAAAGUUAAUGGAUGGAGUAAAUUAUACACGCCAGGCGCUCAGUGCAAAGUGUGACAGAUUAUAAAGUAAAAUAUCAGUUGAAUGUGGUUGUGGUGGGAAAAGUAAGUAUUACAUCAACAAGUGUUUUCCCAAAAAGGUCACCUGUCCCUAACAGGGUUAUUACUUAUUCCUAAAAGGCACAAUAGUGAAAUCAAUACUCUUGUGUGAACUUUCAAGCUUGCAGAAAGUGCAGAGGAAACAGACUCUUCUUUUCACCUUGCCGAAACUUGGUUAGAGUACCAUAUUUCAAGAAUGUACUGAAGUAUCAGACUUAUGCUCAAAUUUAUCAAAACUGACCAAUUGUUAGUUUGAAUGUGCAUACUUAUUGCAGUCCAAAGCCUGAAAGAUUACUUCCUACUUUCUGAAGUACCUUUACAUAGGCUACUAUAGUUUGAAUGAGCAUGCUUAUUGCAAGACAAGUAUUCCAUCUUCAGCAUUCUAUGCCGUACCUCUGGAAGUUCUGGCCCUGAAUAUCGCAUUAUUUUGGUGCCUUGAGAAUAGUCAUCUUGUUCACAGGAUGGCCUCAUUCUUUUAGCCACUGAAGCAAUCGAUGUACCUACAAUUAAUACAUCAUGCAUGAUCAUGAAUUAAUUAUGCAAACACUAGAAGAAAGCAACAAAUUAAACUCAAGCACAUAAGUGCAGACACACAGAGAUUCUACUUGUUUCCGUUAUCUAACUUUUGCAUAGCAACACAACAACUAAGCCUUUAGUCCCAAAUAAGUCGGGGUAGGCUAGAGCUGAAACCCAUAAGAUUUCGAAACCAACUCAUGGUUCCGGCACGUGGAUAACUAACUUCCACGCACCCCUGUCCAUGGCUAGUUAUUUUGUGAUAUCCCAGUCCUUCAGAUCUCUCUUCACGGUCUCCUCCCAUGUCAAGUUUGGUCUACCCCGACCUCUCUUGACAUUAUCAGCACGCUUUAACCGUCCGCUAUGCAUUGGAGGUUCUGGAGGCGUUUGAUGUAUAUUCCCAAACAAUCUUAGACGAUGUUGGACAAGCUUCUCUUCAAUCGGUGCUACCCAACUCUCUCACGUAUAUCUCAUUCCGGAGCCGAUCCUUUCUUGUGUGGCCACACAUCCAUCUGAACAUGUGCAUCUCCGCUAUACCUAACUGUUGCACGUGUCUCCUUUUAGUCGGCCAACACUCAGCGCCAUACAACAUUGCGGGUCGAACCGCCGUCCUAUAGAACCUGUCUUUGCCGCUAUCCAAAAAGCUGGUGAAUCGACUGCGCUGAAGACUAACGCAAUCAACAUUAUGAAGAUCCAUGGUGAGGUGCAGAACAGUGCUACAUAUGCAAUCCGAUGAUUCCAAGCUCUGCUAACUCUGCAACUGUAAUGUUUUGUAAUCUCUGGGAGUGUCCUCUGCGGUAGGACUGAAUUUUCUGUUGCUGCUUUUGCUUGCUCUUAAUUAGGUCUAGUUUUGGUGCUAUCAGGUUUCCGCACUAUGGCGCUGGUGCCGAUUGCGGGCAGGCGCACUUGUUUCCUGAUAGUUCAUUGAACUCGCUCUCUUCCUUUUGCUGCUUCCUGACAGAUAUCAGCAAAAAUAUAUGGACAGUGUAAUUCCAGUCACCGUGUGAGUAAUUGAAAGAGGGUUAGCCCGGUUAACAAAAAACACUCCCUGACAGAUGGAGGGACAAACUUGUUCGCCGGCAAAUAAGAUUGUACUGUAGUACUACAAUGGACUAAAAUUCAGAUCUAACAUCGUGUGGGAUAACAAAAGAAAGAGCUCUCUUAUUUUAUCCCCUAUUUUAGAUUCCAUGAUGAAACGGCGAUAGAGUAGUGUACCUGGUGUGGGAUUUGCCGGCUUACUGUUGGCCUGGAUUUGCUGGCGACGUUUCUUCAGGGCGAUGAUGAGCUCGGCUAGUUCCAUUGUGAUAUACUUUGUGGGGGUCGCGGCAGAAAUUAGGGGGAACCCAGCGAAGCGCUCAAAGUCCAGUUUGGAUUUGAAACAAACAACGCGAGGCGCGAGGGAGCGGGGGUCAGGACGACAGAGCAGGACUCCGCCGCGGGGAGAGAGACAGGCAGGAGGGGGCACAAGCGCAGUGGGAAAACCCUAAGCAACGGAGAUGGGCCUGCUGCUGUUGCUCUGGCUCGAUUAGCCCAUCCAUUGUUUGGGCCAGCCUAUGUGCGCGGGGCGGGACUCCCCCUGUUAUUCUAUUUAUUUUUUCCUUCUUUAUUUAUUUUCCUCUUAUUUUUUUUAUUGUUUUGUACUUCUUUAAAAUAAUAUUAGGGGUUUAAAAAAAGUUCCAAAUCUUCAAAAUGUGGAAACUGGAAAAAGGCUAAAAGAAAUCAUAAAAAGUACGUGGAUUCAAAAAAAGUUCAUGAUUUUGAAAACAAAUGUCCAGGAAAUCAAAAAAUAUUCAUGAUUUUUCAAAAAACAAAAUCAUGUAUUAUUUUGUGUGUGGAUUUUAAAAAAUGUUAACAAAUAUCUUUUUUUUUCAAUUACAACAAAAAUAUCAUCGAUUCAAUAAAUGUCCAAUGAUGCAAAAAAUGUCCAUGAACUCAAAAAUAAAGCAUGCAUUUCAAAAGAAAGUUCGACAAAAAAAUUUCAUGAUUUUUUUUUAAAAAAAAUGGGCGAUUCAAAAAAUGUACCCCUGUCCAUGACAAUUGGACACUCACAAACCAGACUGGAGAUGUAAUUGUUAUCUACUCAUGUGUUGAAUAUAAUGGUGCGGUCGUCCGUAUAUAAUCAUUUUAAAUAUAAGACGUGUUUGCAGUUUAAAACAUCUUAUAUUAGGAACAGAGAGUGUACGUCAUAUCCUUGGCAGGUUUGUCUCUUAAGGAUCCAAAACCUUGAAGUGAUCCAUGGCAAAUGAAAAUGCAAGAUAGAAAAUCCUUUGCAAUCGCAGUUAGGAGGUCAGAAGAAAGAACAAUUUACACACCUCUUUGUAUUUUGACCAUGCGCCUCCGCAAGAUAUUACACACCGGUCAGUUGUGAUAUUACACCAGACAACUCUAAUAGUUGAAAAAAUAAAGCAAAGUUCAUGUAACAAACAUUACAAGGCUUGAGAAUUAGCAGUUGAUAUAACUAAUGAGGGGGGAAAGGCACAACCCAUACAACAAUUAUAUAAUAUAAUAUAAAAAGACUGGAUAGUCACAAUUAUUUGACAGAAUGACACUGAGUGCAUGGUUUCUUGAUAUUUAGCUUAACAUUAGAGGGGACCUUCCCCA